rnacentral:rRNA from 1 species
CUACGCAGCGCGCCGGCCCGCCGGCGCCGCCUGCCACCCCCGCGAACGCUACCCUGUACCCGUUGCCUCGGCGGGCGGCCCCCGGGGGGCCCCGGGCGGACGCCCGCCGGAGCGACCCACCAGACCCUGCUGAACCGGCCCCUCUGAGCGAAACCGCAAACCGGUCAAAACUUUCAACAACGGAUCUCUUGGCUCCAGCAUCGAUGAAGAACGCAGCGAAAUGCGAUAGCUAAUGCGAAUUGCAGAAUUCAGUGAGUCAUCGAGUCUUUGAACGCACAUUGCGCCCGCCGGCAUUCCGGCGGGCAUGCCUGUCCGAGCGUCAUUGCAACCCCUCGCGCCCCGCGCGGUGUUGGGGCACCACGGCCGCCGUGGGCCCCCAAAGGCAGUGGCGGGUCCGCCGCGGUCCCGGGCGCAGUAACGAGGCUCGCCCAGGGCGCCGCGGCGGGCGCCCCUCAGCGUCUCCACACAAGGUUGACCUCGGAUCAGGUAGGAAUACCCGCUGAACUUAAGCAUAUCAAUAAGCGGAGGAAAAGAAACCAACAGGGAUUGCCCCAGUAACGGCGAGUGAAGCGGCAACAGCUCAAAUUUGAAAUCUGGCCCCCGGGCCCGAGUUGUAAUUUGCAGAGGACGCUUCUGGCCCGGCCCCUUCCGAGUCCCCUGGAACGGGGCGCCGCAGAGGGUGAGAGCCCCGUACGGUCGGACGCCGGCGCCAGUGUGAAGCUCCUUCGACGAGUCGAGUAGUUUGGGAAUGCUGCUCAAAACGGGAGGUACAUUCCUUCUAAGGCUAAAUACCGGCUGGAGACCGAUAGCGCACAAGUAGAGUGAUCGAAAGAUGAAAAGCACUUUGAAAAGAGGGUUAAACAGCACGUGAAAUUGUUGAAAGGGAAGCGCCCGCGGCCAGACUUGGGCGGUCCGAUCACCCGGCGCUCGCGCCGGUGCACUCGGCCCGCCCGGGCCAGCAUCGGCUCGCGCGGGGGGACAAAGGCCCCGGGAACGUAGCUCCCCCCGGGGAGUGUUAUAGCCCGGGGCGCAAUGCCCCCGCGCGGGCCGA